AACGAACGCUGGCGGCAGGCCUAACACAUGCAAGUCGAGCGCGCCCUUCGGGGUGAGCGGCGGACGGGUGAGUAACGCGUGGGAACGUGCCCUUUUCUACGGAAUAGCCUCGGGAAACUGAGAGUAAUACCGUAUACGCCCUUUGGGGGAAAGAUUUAUCGGAAAAGGAUCGGCCCGCGUUGGAUUAGGUAGUUGGUGGUAUUGGCCUACCAAGCCGACGAUCCAUAGCUGGUUUGAGAGGAUGAUCAGCCACACUGGGACUGAGACACGGCCCAGACUCCUACGGGAGGCAGCAGUGGGGAAUCUUAGACAAUGGGGGCAACCCUGAUCUAGCCAUGCCGCGUGAGUGAUGAAGGCCUUAGGGUUGUAAAGCUCUUUCAGCUGGGAAGAUAAUGACGGUACCAGCAGAAGAAGCCCCGGCUAACUCCGUG
rnacentral:rRNA from 1 species